CACAGUGGUCCAGCUUCCUUUCACAGGGGCCAAGGCUUCUCAGCAGGUGGCCAGUCACGAGGCCCUGCUUGAGGGGAGAGGAGAAGGAAAGGGCUGCGAGAGAUCACCUGUGUCUCUCUUGCACUCAUCCAGUGUGGAGUCGGGUCUCUCAUUCUGCAGCGGGAAUUUUGGCUCCAGACCCUGGUCUGCUUCCAGGAUGCCGAGCAGAAGUCAAAGUGAAGUGGCAUUGCUUGGAAUCCCCAUUUCUGGCCGCGGCCCAGGACCAGCCCAGCUGUGGCAGGGGUGCUCGCUGCCUGCCUCUCUACACCUCUGACUUGAGAGACCAAAAAUCUCACGGGCCUUAGAGUCACAAAGUUUGGGCUUGAAAUUGCAGCUCCUACUCUUUGUCAUCAAGUGCCUAUUCAUUUUGGAGCCUCAGUUUCCCCAUCUGUAAAAUGUGACAAGUCACAUUAUUCUGAAGAGUAAAUGAAACGAUUCAAGACACACAUCAGCUCUGCCGCCUCUAAGGACUCCACAAGUUACUUCAUUCAUUCCACAAAACCCUGAGAGGAAGAUAGUAUUGUCAUCACCCUCAGAAUCCCUGUUUGAUGGAGAAGGAAACUGAGGCAGGGAGAAGGCAAAUGACUUGUCCAUGAUCUUACAGCCAGGAAGUGUCAGAGUGUCAGAGUCAAGACUCCAGGCAGGGAUUUGGGCCUGCAGCCUGCAGAUCUGGGCUGUGCUUGCCUGCCUGUUGUAAGGCCGGAAAGCUCCUGGCCCCACACCUGGCUGGAGAAGACACACACUGGACACUGGCCCUUACUCUGACUACCUCAGGGCUGCCGGGGCUGCCCAGGGAUUGUUCUGGCUGCCAUCUGGAAGGACAAUGACAUGGGAGCCAGCAAACAGUACAAGAAUGAGACAUGAGGAGGGGAGGCUCGGUCGAGGAGGACACAUGGAGGAACUCCCACAAGCAAGGUGGUGUUCUUUGAACAACACACUGGGAAAUGCAACAUGUCUCAGGAAGCAGAGCCCCUUCUCCGUGCUGGGCCACACCAGUGCUCAGCUCUGGACUGUGCACACCAGGAUGCUCCAACUGCCUUACCCCUCAGCAUCAUUUGUAUCAUAGAGAAUUACCUGCACACCUGUCCACCUUAUUAGUGUGGGUUCCUGGCAGAAGAAUCUGAACUUAUUGUUUUAAAUUAAAGAAAAAAAUUAUAAAUGCUUAUUAUAGAAAAAGUUAUAAAAUAAACAUAAAAUGUGUAAAGAAGAAGGAAAUAGG
rnacentral:lncRNA from 1 species